rnacentral:rRNA from 1 species
AUACGUAGGGGGCGAGCGUUGUCCGGAAUGAUUGGGCGUAAAGGGCGCGUAGGCGGCCCGGUAAGUCUGGAGUGAAAGUCCUGUUUUUAAGAUGGGAAUUGCUUUGGAUACUGUCGGGCUUGAGUGCAGGAGAGGUAAGUGGAAUUCCCAGUGUAGCGGUGAAAUGCGUAGAGAUUGGGAGGAACACCAGUGGCGAAGGCGACUUACUGGACUGUAACUGACGCUGAGGCGCGAAAGUGUGGGGAGCAAACAGGAUUAGAUACCCUGGUAGUCCACACUGUAAACGAUGAUUACUAGGUGUGGGGGGACUGACCCCUUCCGUGCCGCAGUUAACACAAUAAGUAAUCCACCUGGGGAGUACGGCCGCAAGGUUGAAACUCAAAGGAAUUGACGGGG